UGGGGAAUUUUGCACAAUGGGGGAAACCCUGAUGCAGCGACGCCGCGUGAUUUAGAAGGCCUUCGGGUUGUAAAAAUCUUUUGUAUGGGAAGAAAAUGACAGUACCAUACGAAUAAGGACCGGCUAAUUACGUGCCAGCAGCCGCGGUAAAACGUAAGGUCCGAGCGUUGUCCGGAAUCAUUGGGCGUAAAGGGUACGUAGGCGGAUAAGCAAGUUAGAAGUGAAAUCCUAUAGCUCAACUAUAGUAAGCUUUUAAAACUGCUCAUCUUGAGGUAUGGAAGGGAAAGUGGAAUUCCUAGUGUAGCGGUGAAAUGCGCAGAUAUUAGGAGGAAUACCGGUGGCGAAGGCGACUUUCUGGCCAUAUACUGACGCUGAGGUACGAAAGCGUGGGUAGCAAACAGG
rnacentral:rRNA from 1 species